rnacentral:rRNA from 1 species
AUUGAACGCUGGCGGCAGGCCUAACACAUGCAAGUCGAGCGAGAGGCGGACGGGUGAGUAAUGUAUGGGGCUCUGCCCGAUAGAGGGGGAUAAAUACUGGAAACGGUGGCUAAUACCGCAUAAUAUAGGAUGCGCCCAUAUGGGAUUAUCUAGUAGGUGGGGAAAAGGCUCACCUAGGCGACGAUCUCUAGCUGGUCUGAGAGGAUUACCAGCCACACUGGAACUGAGACACGGCCCAGACUCCUACGGGAGGCAGCAGUGGGGAAUAUUGCACAAUGGGCGCAAGCCGGAUGCAGCCAUGCCGCGUGUAUGAAGAAGGCCUUCGGGUUGUAAAGUACUUUCAGCGGGGAGGCGUUACCCGCAGAAGAAGCACCGGCUAACUCCGUGCCAGCAGCCGCGGUAAUUC